rnacentral:rRNA from 1 species
UACGUAGGGGGCGAGCGUUGUCCGGAAUUACUGGGCGUAAAGGGCGCGUAGGCGGUCCUUUAAGUCCGCGGUGAAAGCCCGGGGCUCAACCCCGGAGGGUCCGCGGAGACUGGGGGACUGGAGUGUCGGAGAGGGAUGCGGAAUACCUGGUGUAGCGGUGGAAUGCGUAGAGAUCAGGUGGAACACCGAUGGCGAAGGCAGCAUCCUGGCCGAAUUACUGACGCUGGAGGCGCGGAAAGCUGGGGGGAGCGAACGGG